CAAUAAACGUGUGCAGAAGGAUCCUGUUGCAGCGUCGUUCUUCCUGGCCAGUCGAGCGUGCACAAGACUCAUCCCUUUCAUCCUCCAUGGUCUACAAGAGGAUGUCUCCCCACCAACCCUGCUAGGCCUCCCUACUUCCUGGGGCCUCAAGUAUCUUGAGAUAUCGAGUUUGAUCAGCACCAUUUGCUUAAAAUGCUGUCUUUAUUCCACUGUGUAUUUCUGGCUUCUUCCUCAAAAUGAAAGUGUCCAUAGAUACAGACAAACUGAAACAGCCAGAUUCUUGGGAAUGAACAACUACUACAUGUGUACAUAGCUGUGACCUAUGGAUUCCCAGGGGAUGCCUGCUGAAUUAGGGUCUGGGAUAAGGAAAUGAGUUAGAGGAGAGAAGUUUGGGAGGGAAUAUCUCUGUAUCCCCUGGAGAUGGAGCCUGAGAUGAGCAGAAGCCACAGAAGAUUGUCUGAUGCAGAGCUGUGACUCUUUAUCCAUGGAGACAUCUUACUUAUCCUGGUCUGAAUAGAAGUUCACAUGUGAAUCUACAGAAAAAUUAAUCACAAAAGCAGGGAGUUCGUGGGGACUGUGUACCAAAUCCAGAUGUUUCAUCACUGAACUAUGCUUUCAGUCUGCUAAGCAUAACUGUAAGCAUUGGAAAUUGUGACAAUAAAAUUAAAAAGAGAAAGAAAAGAAAAGAAAAAGAAUUCUGAAAUGCAAUAAAAGAAAUCCGAGCUGCUUUGGUACUCCUGGUUUUAGGGAAGAAGCCAAAGCAAGCAUAUAAAAGACAUGUUGAGGUCCAUGGAAACUAAGAGGAAACAGCAUAAACGUCUCUCCUCCCCAUAAACUGUAAGAAGAAAUGCAAAUUUUCUGUUUAAGUCAUGGACUCCAACUUACCACUACUCCACAGAGGACUGGGACAAGCCAAAUUACGAGUAUACAAAGGAGCAUGCAAGUACCUAUAUUGAAACAGCAAUUACUGAGCAAAAGAUGAGAUUCAAAUACCUUAAAACAUAGCCCUAUAUUUUCAAAGG
rnacentral:lncRNA from 1 species